AUGGAUCGCCCGCCACAUCUCGACAUCGACCUAAACGCGCCGCCCCCGCCGUCGCCACCGCUAUCGCCGGCGCCGGCGGAUAUCCAGUCGCCUCCCCGCGAGUUCGCUGCCGCCAUCCCCGUUGUUGGUCCUCCUCCUCCUCCGCCGCCGCCGCCACCCCAGCUCCCGCCUGCCGCCAACGUGCAGGGCCACCUGCUGCUCCCUCACCAAGCCCGCGAGCUAGCGCUGGCGUACCAUCGUGCGGAAUCCUGGAGGUUAGCUGCUGCUACAGCCAGUGCGCCCGCGACCGCUGGUUCAUCGGUGGAGGUGCCGCCACCGUCGGUUCUCCAUUCACCCACUUUUGCUCCUCCGCCGCAGCCACCCCAGCUCCCGCCCCUCGCCAACGUCCACCUCAUGCGUCCUCCGCCAAUACCGUCGCCGCUGCCAGCCCCUGGCGUGGGGGUGCGGGGGCCUCCGGCGGCCGUGAAUGAAGACUGGAUGUGCCCGGAAUAUGCGAUAGGAGCCGUCAACGCCCCAGACAUCACCAGGCAAGUAAGUGUUGCUGAUGGAGCUCAUUUGACUGAAUUGGCGACUCCACAUUUUGAGGGCAUGCCGUUCAAUCAUACAACUCCUUUUGAUGGGAAUCACUUUAUGCCAGCAUUUGGUCUUCCUCAUUGUUUUAACAUGAGACAACAAUUUCCUCCUGUGGAUCAAAAUUUCAUUGCUGAUGGAAACUUAGAACACAGGUCAAAUCAAACACGCAGCAGAAGAGAUUUUCCACAAACAUCAGCAUUGCCCAAGUUUUCUAAGAAGCACAAGUUUGGAAGUUCCAGCACUUCUAUGGAGCCACCAUAA
rnacentral:rRNA from 1 species